CUUUAUCCAACUCAAAAUCUUUUUUCUUUUCAACUUACAAAAAUUAAUUCUUUAUAAAUAUCAUUCAUCCUCUCCCGUUACAUUCUUAAAAACAGAGAAACAACAAACAAAACUUCUUCAAAAUUCCAGAACCACAAGGCAGAAAAAAAUAUUGAGAACUCAGGUGGUAUUGAGGAGGAUUUCAUUAACCAGAGAGUGUGAUUUGGUAGCAUCUGGUGAGCCACGAUUGCUUCGCCUGACAAGAGAACAUUUGAUUUGCUAUGCCUAUUUAGUUCUUUAAAUCUCUUAGAUUCUCUCCAUUGUCAGUUCUUAUUUUGAGUCAGGAUAUUCCUUCAAAUUGUAGUCAAGUGACUAGUUUUAACCUCUUUUUCAUAUUUGGAGAUGAAUUGAUUUUAUUGUGUGACAAUUAGAUCAUUGAUGGAUUAUAUGUUGUGGUUUUGUAUUUGUUAUUAGUUGUGUUGUGGAUUUGAAAUUUUAGGAUAUGCAUAAAACAAAGGAAACUCUGCCGAUUUUUGUAGAAUUCUUGUAAGGCUGGCUUUGGAAUUCUUCCCCUUAGCGCCGGUCAUGAUCCUUAAUUGGGUCGUGACAGGAUCAUUUGAAGAUGUUCUGAAUAAUCAACCUGAGAUGACCAUAUUUAUGAUUGCAGGUUUUUUUGUGGAGUACUUUAAUUGUCAUUACAAACUGUUAUUAUUAUCAACUAACAAGGAAUGAACUCGCUUUCACAGUUAAUAGGUACUGUACAUGUCUGCUAUUUUGAACCUUUAUCCUGAUUCGUAGGUACAUCAUGUUUAUUGUUAACAUGCGGGAAAGGUAAGGGAAAAUGAGAAGGGGAUUACAAGCUAGCUGUUGAUGUUAUUACCCUUGCAAGUUUAAGUACUGUCAGUUAGUGGCAUAGAAGCUUGUAAGCGUUUGAAACAGAAAAUAGUCCUCUUUCAAAAGAGGAAAAAGUCUCGUAAAGAAAGUAGAAAAGAAGCUCGGACGAAUUAAAAGCAUAAGAGAUGCAGGUUAAGGGACAGAUUGACGACUCUUGCAACGGUUUGGACAUCAGCGUUUCUCCAGACCAUUUGGUAGGUCCUCUUAAUUUUGAGGUUGCUACAGUUUCAGUCUAGCCUUAGUUUUAGACCAAGCUAGUGGAUGUUGUCCCUAGCGUUUCUUUCGUACUUUCAUUUCGAAGCUUUGUAAUAAGGCCGUGU